rnacentral:rRNA from 1 species
CCUCGAAGAGUUCACGUUUUUUGGUAAUCGCGAUUGAAUCGAGCCAAAGGGUAGGUCAACCUCUACAGAAGACCCAGCGCCUCGAGUAGGGCGCCGCCGCGGUUGCGCCUCACUUCGUUCUUUCUCUUAUUCGACAAGCUCCUACGUGAGCGGAUGAUGCCGCUCCCGUGCGGGCUGGCGACCGAGUUCCACAGGGCGCGGUACCCGCCCUGGUUCUGCCGGCUGCUCCACGCGGCGGUGAUGCUCUAGGAGCUGCCGCUGUAGUUCGACUAGCUCAGGCCGUCCCAGGGCAAGGGGUUCAUAUUAUGGGUCCCCCGGACCUUGACUAAGUAGUUAGUUCCUCGUUUCAAAGACUUAAGACUUCUAGGACGUUUGUCCUAUUAGACAACUAUAUUAGAUCAGGAAUCGACCCUGGUACAAUAACUUCGCUCGUAUUAAUACAUGACAUACUACUUCUAACACCCGUGAACCAAUCCUUAUUUUCUUCUUUUGUACACGCACACAUGUAUUAUAAUCCAAACAUUCGUUUAGUUCACACAAAGCAGAACAUCUGCCAUCGUGUAUAAAAGUAAUACAUGUCAUAAUGAGGAAGG